rnacentral:sRNA from 1 species
CGUCAAGAAAAUCCAAUCAUAAAUGGAGAAGGGGGAUGGUCUAGCGGGGGCGCGUUAAUGGGUACCUCGGCCAGUCCCAGACACAUCCGGGUCUUCGACAGCCCAUUAAGUGUCGGGGGUCAAAAAAUUGCUUUAGGCUGCAGCUUUACCUUGUAGACGUUUUGGUCCCCUGGCAGCCGCCGUACCACCUAGUCUCUCAAAUCUGUGAUUCUCCUUUGGCAGGCUCUCAUUCUUUCACGUCUAAAGAUGGAGACUGAGAACGGCGCUGGGCUCUAUAUUUGGGUGGAGGGAUGUGAGGCAGCUGUCUAUGAUUUGCCUCAUGCUCCAGCAGAGGUGUGAUUUCCCCAGCUGCAGACAGUUUCUGAAGUUGUGUGACAUGUGAAAUUCUGGGAAGUUUCCAGAGGGUCCAUGAAUGUUUGGACCCUAAGCUGUAAGGAAUGCAGGUAUAAACAAUCAUGUCUGGAACCAAGGCUACCUUGCCAGUCCCUACCCACCUGUCUGAGAGCUGCCCGACUUUUGCUG